AUAUAUCAUCCACAACAUCCCCUAUAAACUAGUGUCUCUACCAAAAUUUAUACAAAUAUUUUUAAGAGUCCAUUUUGAUUGCUCUAUCCAUCUUCAUGUUCUCACGUCUUGUGGCAGUACCUUCAUACAUAGAUACUCUCCAUGAAACUGAUACUAACAGCCGGAUCAUCCUAGUCUUACAAAAAUCCAGCAGCCACAUGUUCCAAAAUCAACUUCCUUGUAGUAGUCUCUUGAGGAAUUUAUGUUCCACAACUCUAUUGUUUUGACUGCAAUAAUCAGAAAAAUAACAAGUUGGUCAAUAUUGAAGCUCCUAUUUGAAGACUCAAUUUGAAGGUGUGAAUCAAAUAUUUGGUGCAGUCAACAUGGAAACUUUAGAAGGUAAGCCAACUCAUGUUGACAUUGAUUGAAAUGGAAAAAAGGAAUAUGUGAUGGUAGGUAGGGUAGGUUCAUAGUUCAAACCAAUGGAGUUAGGUGGCAAUUUCAGGGAUAGUUUUGUUUUGCCAAUAAAAUAUUAAAUCACCUAACUUCUGAAUAGCACUAUUAGAUAGGAAAAUAAGACAUCCUGAGGCACAUUUAACACUCUAUUCUAUAUUUCUACCCUAUGACCCUCCAUUUUUUUUUCCAUAGUUAACUCUUGAUGAAUUAAUAUAUUUCUACCUAACCCUUUUCAUAAAGAGAAUCAGUUUACACAGAUUGCAGUUCUAUCCCUGCUAGUGUCAUUGGAGGGAGGCAAAUGUAAAUCCAUUUGUAAGUGUUCGGUGAAUCCUAAAGUCUUCCCUACCUUGGACUGAGGCACCGUCCCUUGAUCCUAAAUUUGUUUUCAUAAAAAGGAGAGAGAGAAAGUUUAAAAUCCUGUUGCAGUUUUUACUCCAGUCAAAAUAACAAUGCCUUCACCGACCAAUGUGAUUUGCUAGAAGGGUUCACCACUUUUGAGGUUCUAGUCCUCCUAAAUUUCCUGUAAUGAGCAAUCCACAAACACUCUAAACACAUUCCCUCUCUAAACAUUAUUUUCUUCCAAUGGCGAAUAAUAUGGGCAGAGGGUAGUAAAUAAUGGCAGACGAAGCACCAUUUUCUUCCAAUGGCGAAUAAUAUGGGCAGAGGGUAUAGUAAAUAAUGGCAGACGAAGCACCAACACAGAUACAAACACUAGUUGCAACACUGACCCGUAGUCAUUGGUAAUAAUAUAAGAAAAUGGAAGUGGUUUAAUAUAACUGCAUGUGUCAGUGUAAUGUCAGACACUGACAUGUGUCGGACACUUGACAUGCCUUUGAUUCAGAGUGUCUGAUGCAACAUAUCAAAAUAAAAAAUGAUAAAAAAAAAUACCUGUGAGUAUAAGAAGGUCCCGAAGACAGCAAUUGCAGCUCCAAGAGCAUUGACGGGCUGAACUGGUGUGUGGAAGAUGAUAAUUGAAGAUACUAUGACAGAUAUACGUUUCAUGGUGUUUCCAAUGCUAAAUGUCAAGGGAGAGAUCUCAUCCAAGGACAUGUAAGACACCUGAUUGUAUAGAUGAUAGAAUAUACUCUGAGCUGCUACCCACCUGUUGUGUACAUUUAUCAGCCAUACUUUAGUCAUAAUAUGGAGCAGCGAUGCUUUCAAAAUCGAAAGAUAAACGGAAGUGGAAAAAAAAAAUACUCAAUCAGAACAAGGAAAAAACUCCGCUUUCUGUUGCAAAAACAUAUUAUUCACGUAUGAUGUAUGAUUUUACAGUUAACAACACUAAUCGUUUAUUCUGUCAUUAACAUUAACUCAUAACAAAAUGGGUAUUUGUGAUAACCAGUCCAUUGCUCCUAAGUCCUCACAGACAAUCUCUUGGCUAUCAAUUGUAAAUUAACAUGAUACAGAAAAGAAACUCAAUCCCGCAACUAAAGAAAUUGAAAAUUGGCAUCAA